rnacentral:rRNA from 1 species
UACGAAGGGGGCUAGCGUUGCUCGGAAUCACUGGGCGUAAAGCGCACGUAGGCGGCUUUUUAAGUCAGGGGUGAAAUCCUGGAGCUCAACUCCAGAACUGCCUUUGAUACUGGGAAGCUUGAGUCCGGGAGAGGUGAGUGGAACUCCGAGUGUAGAGGUGAAAUUCGUAGAUAUUCGGAAGAACACCAGUGGCGAAGGCGGCUCACUGGCCCGGUACUGACGCUGAGGUGCGAAAGCGUGGGGAGUAAACAGG